ACGAGGAUAGUGUAAUGGAAACACUCCGGUCAGAUGGACCGGCACUACCUGUUCGAUUCAGGUUCCUCGUA
rnacentral:tRNA from 1 species